rnacentral:pre_miRNA from 1 species
GUAAACGCUGGUAGCAGCGGCGACGAGAAUAGAUGGCGUCGUCGCCGGCGACCACAGCACAAC